rnacentral:lncRNA from 1 species
UAGUCUUUUGUAAACAAUCUGAGCAAAGGAAGUAGAGACCAUCAUGUACUUUACUAAUCUCCAGAGGCCUCUUCAGUGAAGCGGCCUGCAGUAGACAAGAAGUGUUAGAAAAAGAAACAGUACAUUUGAGAUGAUUUACUAGAGAAUUGAUGGAGAUUAAAUUGUAUUUGAAAGAAGGGGCAUAAAGUACUCCGGACAAAGUGAUCUUGGGGGUAAGAUGCAC